AAUAUAGGAUAUCCAUUAUUUAUUGUUGACGAUCCGUUUUCCGAUGACCACUGAAUGCAUCAUAUCUCGCGCCAUUGGCCUCUGACGGGAAGAAGGAGCAGAAUUAAAGCGUAUUUUAAUCGUUUACGUGGUACAAUUUCUAUUUCUUACCUCUUUUUGAUUCUCAGCUUAGUUUUCAGAUAAUUGUUUCUUUAACUAUCCGUAAAAAAUUAAGUGAAUGUCGAACAUAACUUCGAAGAAACAGAGCUUUAAGAAUGUUUACGACCUUUUAACUGGAGGACACUAACGGGUCACCAUCAGUGAGGACUUGGCCCAGAACAUGAGAUCCAGCCUGACAAGAAAAUUGCAGAAUUUUAAGACUGGAGAUUACUGAGCCUGAGAUGGAGGAAGAGAUACUUUCAGACCAGGACUCAGUGAGUUUGCUGCAGGAUCUUCCUGCUUUCCAGAGCAGAGCAGCUGCUGAGGACAUGGCUGUAACUACUUCAGGUUCACAAGCUGCAAACAAAGAGAUUAAAGAUAAGCCGGAGCUGAAUCAGCAUAAAAAACACAAGGCGAAGACCAACAAAGGCAAAAAGUCUGCUGCAGGCUGUGCUGCGUCUUCGUCACGAUCAAAAAAACUGCUUCACAAGAGAAACUACAAAGGAGAGACUCUUCUUCACAAAGCAUGUCAGAAAAAUGAUCUGGCUCAAGUCAAGAUGCUCCUUCAGGCUGGAAUCGACGUCAACAUGGAGGAUUAUGCAGGAUGGACGGCUCUGCACGAGGCCUCUGCUGUUGGAGACGAGUCUGUGGUGGAGGAGCUGCUGAGGGCCGGCGCUAAUGUUAACGCCAGGAACUGUGACGGUGUGACACCGCUGCAUGACGCCGUUUACGCUGAACGCUAUCAGGUUGUGAGGAUCCUCCUUGAGAAUGGAUCAAACCCUACAGACCAGAAUGUCGGUGGAGUUAGAGCAUUGGACAUGGCCACGGACAGGAAUGUGAGAGAGCUGCUCAUGACUUUCCAGGCAUCUUCUGUAGGCCAGGGGGAGUCUUCCAAAGGGGCAGCACAAUGUGCAGAGCCAGGAUCUGAGGGUGGUGCAGGUGGAGAACCUACUGAUGUUCAGCUGAGAGAGGACGGCAUCAGAAAUAACUCCUUUACAGUUCAGAGUCCAGAGGCCGUGUCAGCGGUUCUGGAGGAUGUUGGGAAGAAACAAGCAGAAAUUUCAACCUGGCAUCUGAUAGAUCUCAAUGAUGUAGACAGACACAAAGCAGCCUUUCUAGAGAUCCAAAGUGUGCUGACGGACGUGCUCACCAAGCAGCGUUUAGAGAAGAACAGGCUAACCCACAAGUUCAGGAUUGUGCCUGAACACCUUCGCCAAGUGCUGAGAGAUCAGUUCCUCUCCCUGGCUUCACGUCAGAGAUAUCUGGUAAAACUCCUCCAGAAACAAAUGGAGUUGGAAGAAGCUUACAUUAAAGCAAAGGCUAACAUUUCAUCUACCAAGGAGUCCAUCCUUGGUAACAAUAUCCCUGUCAGCUCGACAUAUGCACUGGAUAAGGUGACUUUCAGAAACAAACCUUUGUCAAACUACUUGGAGGACAAUCAAAAUCCCUUUGAGAUCCAACUUCAGGACGAUGUUCGAUACAACAAAGAUGGUUCUGCUCAACAGGAGCUGAGUCCAGAACCAGAAAACCCAUAUCAGCUGUUACGAAAAAUCAAGAUUGUCCAUUUGAUGAGCUGCGAGGAGUUCCUUCCAGACGCUGUAAUGGACUAUUACUGGGACAAGCUCCUGAAGCUAGACGCUGUAGACUUUGAGAACUGGGAGCUGGAACUCUAGUUUUGCCUUGAACUAUUUGUUUGGUUUUUUUUAUGAGUUCUCAACAUGAAUGUUUAGGAGUGUGGUCAUAGUUGGCUGAGAAAACCAGAACUGCACCCUCUGCUCUAAUUCAUCCCAAAGGCAUUCAAGAAAGUUGAGGAGGUGAGAUGUUUGCCCUAACUGGCUCAGGUUUUCUACAUGAAGUGGCAGAGGUAGACCAACAGAUGGCAACAUACACUUCAGAGAUAACCACCUCUGAGAGGGUAGAUCUCCCUCCACCCCACCCCACCCUGCAGAAACAGGAUGUGUCCAGACAUGGGGGUUGAUGCAGUCAUGUGACCACACUCCACUCCUCAUAUCUUAUGUAAUCCCUAUCUUAGCCAUGUGCUUCCCCCAUAACCGCUGACCUACAUAUGAUAAUCGUACCCACUUAUCUACAGUUGUAGUCUUUUUCUGCCUCUCCUUGCAGCUAACUUAUACACAUCGUAAGGAACUUUGGUGACGUUUUAUGAGUCAGCCUGUAAGAAGUUAAAUUGAUAAAUGUUGUGAUGGAUUGUCCCACAUACUUGCCUUUGUUCAUAGAGGCUGUGAUUCAGUGAGGCGGCUGUCACACCACUUCCUCUUGGGCAGAAUCUGGUGAAAAACUGUUGGUUCCACUGGGGGUGAUGGUUAAACUCUUUGUGCCAGAGCAAACUUCAGAGGUUAUCUGUUCUGGAUACGGAUGCAGAUGGGAGUUUGGAUUUAUCAGAACGAGCAGAAAGAUAACAUGAACAGGACGAUUCAUUACUUUCACUCUAGCCUGAGGUUUAUUUCUCUCUGCACUGCAUUUUUUCCAGCCUGUUUCUCCUUCAGCCAAACUGCUUAUGUCACUCCUGCAGCCCAGUCAGAGAUGAGCAUUGUCUGGGCGCUCUAUGGAAGCCUGUUGCUACCAGGAACCAUAAAUGAAAAUAUUAAAACUAGAUUUAAUAGAGAAAAAUCCCUUUUUAAAAUCAGCUUCAUUCAUUUAGCACUUUUCAAACUGGAGGGAAAUUCAAAGAGCAGAAUGAGGCAAAACCAGGACAUGAAAACAGAUGGGAUCAAAAUAGACAUCUGUCAGUAAAACCAAUUUACAUACAUUUAAAAAAUAUAACUGAAAUAAAGGUAAAAGGGGCCAAAUUAGUUAAAUAUCAGUAAAACAAAAUAAGCAUUUUUAAAGAAAACAUUUUUAUUAAUUUAUGCUUUCUGCCCUGGAGUGGUAAUAUCUCGUAGGGUGUACACUGCUUCGCUCAAGAUUUAAGGUUUUCCACCAAAGUGCUUCCAGUGUUAAACCAGUACUGGUCCCAGAACUAGUUCCCAGCUGAUUCUACACUCCAACCAGUUUGGUGAACCAGCCAUCUAAUAACUGGUGGGAUGACCUUCUGCAACCCUGAACAGGCCACAGUGGAGGGAUGCAAAUUGAAUGCCACCUUUCUAUUUUAGAGAUGUUUGAGAACAAUAUGAGCCAAACUGUUGCUGUUAUAAACUUCUUACAGUCAUUAUCAUAACAAAAUGACCUUGAGAUUUAAAUUAAUUGAACUAGUUUAACAAUACCCUCAACUGUGAUAAUGGGAUGUGGAUAGUGACCAAAACAACAGGGUCCUGGAUUCAGGUAACUGGAAUUAGCGUCAUCUAGCAGCUUCUCUACAUCAAUGGAGUUAGAUGACGGUGCUCAGGCAUCUUGCUUUGUCAUUCAUUUAUUUUGGUGUCAUUUUGGAUCCACACAAGAAACACCAAAUAGACACUUGUUAAGGUCUGUGGCCCCUUUUAUAAUAUGGCAGUAACCGCUGUUUUUACAGAUGCAACAGGUUAGGAACAAAUUCUGACUUUGUGACAUACCAUCCAUUUCUAUAUUUGCAUAAUCCUAUUUAUGGAAGUGGAAGGAAGGUUGUAGCGUAUCCUAGCAGUCAUUGAGCAAUAAGCUGGGCACACCCUGGACGGUUUGCCAGUGUAUUACAGACACACAACAGGCAACUUUGCAUGCAUCUAUGCAUGCAUACAAAGAUUGGGUUUAAAUCACGAAAUGACCCUAAAAUGCAUGUUUUAAUACUGUCAAAAAAAAAUAAAUACAUUCGAAACAAG